UACGUAGGCAGCAAGCGUUGUUCGGAAUUACUGGGCGUAAAGAGUGUGUAGGCGGUGCUCCAAGUCUGGUGUGAAAUCUCCCGGCUUAACUGGGAGGGUGCAUUAGAAACUGGAAUGCUAGAGGAUGGGAGAGGUAAGCGGAAUUCCUGGUGUAGCGGUGAAAUGCGUAGAUAUCAGGAGGAACACCGGUGGCGAAGGCGGGUCUCUGGGAAGUAACUGACGCUGAGAAGCGAAAGCAUGGGUAGCAAACAGG
rnacentral:rRNA from 1 species